rnacentral:ncRNA from 2 species
AAUAAGCACUGGGAGUGUUGGAAAGGCCAACUGAGAUUAAGACCCGAAUAUGUCUUUGAUCCCUAAUCACCUGAUCUAGUUCAUACUAGCGUAGGAAAGUGUUUUAUAUUUAGC